UACGGAGGAUGCAAGCGUUAUCCGGAUUUAUUGGGUUUAAAGGGUGCGUAGGCGGGAUUGUAAGUCAGUGGUGAAAUCUUGCAGCUUAACUGUAAAAUAGCCAUUGAUACUGCAGUUCUUGAGUACAAUUGAGGUAGGCGGAAUGUGUAAUGUAGCGGUGAAAUGCUUAGAUAUUACACAGAACACCGAUUGCGUAGGCAGCUUACUAAGUUGUAACUGACGCUGAUGCACGAAAGCGUGGGUAGCGAACAGG
rnacentral:rRNA from 1 species